UACGAAUGGGGCUAGCGUUGUUCGGAAUUACUGGGCGUAAAGCGCACGUAGGCGGAUAUUUAAGUCAGGGGUGAAAUCCCAGAGCUCAACUCUGGAACUGCCUUUGAUACUGGGUAUCUUGAGUAUGGAAGAGGUGAGUGGAAUUCCGAGUGUAGAGGUGAAAUUCGUAGAUAUUCGGAGGAACACCAGUGGCGAAGGCGGCUCACUGGUCCAUUACUGACGCUGAGGUGCGAAAGCGUGGGGAGCAAACAGG
rnacentral:rRNA from 1 species